rnacentral:lncRNA from 1 species
AUAAUAAACAAAGUGAUGGCUUGACCGUUGAAACACAGAAAAAUCUAAAUCUAAGUGUAUAUAAUAUUGUAUAUAUAUUUAUAUCAUGUAUUUUGUGGAAUAAACUAACACGUUUCUUACUUUGAAAACAAAAUUUAAAAAAUCAAAAGACAUUUAUACGUUUCCUUUCUUUUUACUUAACAACUUUUUACUUAACAACUUUUUACUUAAUAACUUUUUACUUAAUAACAUUGUUAAAUUUUUUUUUUUUUUUUUUCGUUUUUCACAGGUUUGGAUAGUUAUAAACUAUUUUAACAUUACUUUGAAUGUGUGCUAUAUUUUUGAUUAUAAAUAUAUUUUUUUGGUUUCACUAGUUACAUAAGAUAUCUAACAUAUGCAUUUAGUACAUAAAAAGAAAAAAAGUUGUAUGUUCUGUCCAAUUAGUCUGUCUUCCUGCCUGCCUGCAUAUUUGCGUUUGUUUUUUUUUCACUUAUAUAUAUACAUCAACUUUAAAAAAAACUAUACUAUUUGUGUAAAGAGUUUAUUUUAUUUUUUUUUUGAGGAGACCUAUUUUUUUAAAAAAUGAAAGAUGUUCGAAAAGAGAUAAAUCAUAUAAAAGAAUUUAUUGACACAUUUUGUUUUGCAAAAAAUGUAAAGAUAGUUACUGAUGAAUCAGUUCUAAAAAAAAUUAACAAAACAUCUAAAGAAAAUAACACAAGUGUAGUUAAUUUGUAUUCUUCGUAUGCUUUAUGGCUGUGUAUGAAUGAAAUAUAUCCAGCAUGGUUUGAUCUUUCGAUUCAUCCUGCUCAGUUUGAUUUUGAAGCGGACGCCACCGAGUGUUUAAUCAAGUAUUUGAAUGAGUACCAUGAAAAAAAAUAUGAUAAAAUAAUAAAUAACGCGUUAAUAAAUAUUAACACCCUAACAGUAAGCCAUUUUAUUGAUAUAUACAAUUUAGUCAUACUAGCAGCUUUAGUAUCGGAUGAUAAACAAAGACAUAUAACUAAUAUUUUAUCACUUAAACAUGAAACACAAAAAUAUAUACACAAAAUUAUAGAAUAUUUAGAAAAAGAGGUAAAUGGCUUUUUUUUUUUUUUAAUUUUAUUUAUUUGGUUGUUGUUACCGUUGUUAGCAUUGUUAUGGUUGCUACUGUCAUUGUUAUUAUUGCUGCUAUUGUUUUUUUUUUUUAUUUUAUUUUUUUUUGAUAGUCAAUUUAAUUAAACAAUUUGUUAUUUUUAUAAUUAUUUCAGAAAAAUCUAAAUCAGGAUAAUAAAUUAUUAACACAUAAUAAUUCUGAAAUUAGU